GACGAACGCUGGCGGCGUGCUUAACACAUGCAAGUCGAACGGAAAGGCCCUGCUUUUGUGGGGUGCUCGAGUGGCGAACGGGUGAGUAACACGUGAGUAACCUGCCCUUGACUUUGGGAUAACUUCAGGAAACUGGGGCUAAUACCGGAUAGGAGCUCCUGCUGCAUGGUGGGGGUUGGAAAGUUUCGGCGGUUGGGGAUGGACUCGCGGCUUAUCAGCUUGUUGGUGGGGUAGUGGCUUACCAAGGCUUUGACGGGUAGCCGGCCUGAGAGGGUGACCGGCCACAUUGGGACUGAGAUACGGCCCAGACUCCUACGGGAGGCAGCAGUGGGGAAUAUUGCACAAUGGGCGGAAGCCUGAUGCAGCAACGCCGCGUGCGGGAUGACGGCUUUCGGGUUGUAAACCGCGUUCGCCUGUGACGAAGCGUGAGUGACGGUAAUGGGUAAAGAAGCACCGGCUAACUACGUG
rnacentral:rRNA from 1 species